rnacentral:lncRNA from 1 species
CAGAUUCCAAUCCGGACGCAACGACCCGAGCUGUUCCUCCAGCCCGAGCGCGCACCCCACCCCAUCUUGCAUCUCGCAGAUUCCCUCUCCUCUUCCUCCAGUAGCACAACAUGCUCACCGGUCGCCCCUGCUCCUCCAUCUCUCCUUGUCUUUGAGCAGCACGACCACCGCAUCCUCCUCUCCACCCAUGUGACCCCCUCGCGAGAUAGGAGGUGCGCCAUCCUGGCAUAAAGGGGUCGAGCUUCCCAUGCUCAACUGCGAUUUGUGCUUCGGCAGGUUAUAAAUCGGCUGGAUCGGCUGCCGGAGAAUCACCGACCGGUACAUCUAGAGAUCUAAGGUACUGCACUGCGUCGAUCGCCCCUGAUUUGAUGAUUUGUAAUUUUUGCAACGCAAUUCUGUUUGUAUUUCAUUCAACAGCUGAUUACUCAUUGUUAUUUCAUCCAACAACUGAUUGCAACAGCUGAUUUCUUGCAUUGCUUCCUGUAUACAGGCUUCCAAAUAUAUGUAUCCAUAGUGGCAGCAAAUCUUUUCUUGUUUUAUUUUUCAAAUUUCCAUGCUUCCACCAAACACGAGUAAUGCACCCUAUGCAUUAUUUCCUAGCUUCAUACCUAUGUGCUUCUACAUUGCACUCAUUUUGCUACCGUCGUCUAGAAAAUUGCUUCCAUGCCUUCCUAUUAUAAUGGUUUAUAAUAGGUUCAGUUUGUAUUGUGGUUACACAAAAAGAUCCAACCUCAUAAUAUUCACAUGCCUUCAUCUUAUAUUGUUUGAUAUCUCUAUGUGCGUAUGUUGCUUUAUUCAGUUCUCGGGGGCUGAUUAUGUUCUCUACAAUAUGUAGUUGAUCACCAAAUCAUCAAGAAUAUACAUGUAUUUGGAUUGUGCAUAUAUUGCUCUUUUUUCUUUCAAAUAUCCAUGCUUCAAAGUACUGCUUAUGUAUCAAGAGCACUAUUUUCAUGCUUCUUAUCCAUUGGGCUUCUAUACUGUAAUACAUAUGCUUCUUCUUUUUUUGCGGAUGAAUACAUAUGCUUCUUCGAUCCAUAGAGUUUCUUCAAUUAGUAAAUAACAACCGGCUGAAUAGCACGAAAUUAGUGGCCUCUUCUUAACAUGCUUCCUUGAUUUUUACUGUAAUACAUAUGCUUCUUGUGAAUCAUGCUUCCUUGGUUUUUACUUUAAUACAUAUGCUUCUUCGGUCCAUAGAGUAUGCUUCAAUUAGUGAAUAACAACCGGUUGAAUAGCACGAAAUUAGUGGUUUCUUGUUAAUCAUGCUUCGUUGAUUUUUACUAUAUGCUUCUCCUGUAGACAUGUAGUGCCACAACAGAACAAUGUUAAGUGAACAUUAAAUUUGGGCACCCAAAUCUUGCCUGCCAAGCGUGUAGAUUUAUCAUAUCAAAAUAAUAUUAUUUUAGUGCGUAAUAGCAUCAAAUCAUUUAUUUUAUGUUAGCCAUGCUUUCUUCCUUGUGAAUUCUCACAUAUGUUUCUAUGCCGACAAGGAGGAGCUAGGGGAUCGAGGCUGGAUGCGUCUACUUCAGAGACGAUGAGUCGAAUCGACACAAAGACCCCCAUGGCUGAGAAGUCCGAGUUAUCAGUGUAUACAAAGCAAUGAAGAUCGAAGCACUUGGGCAAGGGCACCUCAGCUUAUACCUGUUGGCACCGUGGAUAACACCCUGCAUCACAUGAUGGCUAGGUCACAUUUGAAUUAGCGAAAUUUGACGCAUGGAAGCAAUUUGACUUUGUCUUGAAGCAUACUCUCCAUUUGACAGUAGCGUUUUUUUCUUUCUUUGCAAACAAAUCCUUAAUUUGAAUUAGAACCGUGUGUAAUUGUGAUUGGAAAUAUCUUUCUCUUUGGUGGAAGCAAUAUAAUUUUUGGUUGAAAGCAAA